UCGAUCCCUGGGUCAGGAAGAUCAUCUGGAGAAGGAAAUGGGGAGAUCAUUCAGAGAAGACUUCACAGCGUUUCCACUGGUCAGCCAUGCUACUGUUGCUCAUCUCAAUACUGGGGAUACUUGCCCUGAGAGAUUCCACAGGCCAGUCAGUGACCCAGCCUGAUGAUCCUGUUUUGGUCUCUGAAGGAACCUCAUUGGAGCUGAAGUGUAACUAUUCCUACAGUGCAACUCCCUAUCUCUUCUGGUAUGUCCAGCACCCCAGGCAAAGACCCCAGCUGCUCCUCAAGUACUUUUCCGGGAACACCGUGGUUCAAGGCAUUAGAGGCUUCGUGGCUGAAUUUAAGAGCAGUGAAUUUUCCUUCAACCUGAGGAAAUUCUCAGCCCAUUGGAGUGACUCAGCUGAGUACUUCUGUGCACUGAGUGGCACAGCGCCUGGGACUGCAGGAGGAGUUGAACACAAACCACUCGCGGUGGUGGAGUUUUCAGACACUCAAGAUCGCUUCUUGUUUUAUUUUAAGCGAUCUUUUGCUAUAUGAUUGCAAAUGAGGCAAAGAGAGCUGAGCAGACAGAGGUACUUUUAUAUAAGCCUACAGUUCCAUGUCUGGUAAAUUUUAUUUCGGGAACUUUUUACUUCAUUUAGAAACACGUAACAAUAAACAGUUAAGAUCCUAGAAUGAUGUUCUUAUCAUGUACUAAUCAGAUGCUUAAGGACUUGCCUUUAGGUUGACUGUUUUAGGGGACUGACUGUAUGGGUUUUCAUUUACCACUUUGUGUCUCGCUCAAGACAGAAAACAAAAGAUGAACUGCUCAUGUUCUCUCCCUGAAAAUUUGCCUCCUUAACUUGGUCAUUCACAGAAAAUUUUCUUGAUUUUUUUUCCCCGUGGGUCUCACUGUGUUGGUCACAAAGUGUUAGAAUAUUUUCUCUGAAUAUUUAUUUCACUUAGGAGGAAUUCCGAAGUUGGUUAACACUAAAGAGAUUGAUUAGAAUCUUAUGGGGCUUAGAAAACUGUUAUAGUCAUGUUAGUUCUGGCAACUAUUUAAGAAUAGUACCUAAGGAGAAUGGAGAUUUAUAAUUCAUUUAUAAUUCAUUCAUCUAAAGAGUUUUUCUCAGUUAUAAAAGUAGCUUCUCAUUCUUUUGGUAUUCUCUUAAAUUCUAGAAAUCUACACCAGAAAUUUGUGAAUAUAACUCCUUUGUACUUUCUUCCAGCUAUGGACAUUUUUCCCCCUGCCUUGC